rnacentral:rRNA from 1 species
AGUGAACGCUGGCGGUAGGCCUAACACAUGCAAGUCGAACGGCAGCACAGUAAGAGCUUGCUCUUACGGGUGGCGAGUGGCGGACGGGUGAGGGAUACAUCGGAAUCUACUUUUUCGUGGGGGAUAACGUAGGGAAACUUACGCUAAUACCGCAUACGACCUACGGGUGAAAGCAGGGGAUCUUCGGACCUUGCGCGAUUGAAUGAGCCGAUGUCGGAUUAGCUAGUUGGCGGGGUAAAGGCCCACCAAGGCGACGAUCCGUAGCUGGUCUGAGAGGAUGAUCAGCCACACUGGAACUGAGACACGGUCCAGACUCCUACGGGAGGCAGCAGUGGGGAAUAUUGGACAAUGGGCGCAAGCCUGAUCCAGCCAUACCGCGUGGGUGAAGAAGGCCUUCGGGUUGUAAAGCCCUUUUGUUGGGAAAGAAAAGCAGCAGGUUAAUACCCCACUGUUCUGACGGUACCCAAAGAAUAAGCACCGGCUAACUUCGUG